rnacentral:lncRNA from 1 species
AUGGAGGAGGACAGAGGCGACCCCGAGGCUGCAGCUGGCGUGCUGGGCUCCGCGCUGGAGGAGCACGUCCUGCCCAUCAUGCACUGGGAGGCUUUGAGCCUGAGGAUUGCAGAGCUGGAAAAACAGGAGAAGGAGAAAAGGGAAAGGGCAAAGUCUGUGGGCGUAGUCGAAGAAGAGAACUUUCCGGAGGACAGAUGUCAGGUGCUCCGUGGAGAAAAGGAAGAAGAUGUGUGGAGAGCAGGUCGCGUUCCAGCCGUUGCCUCCCGGUUCUACAGUCCGAAGAAUCUUCAGCUGUGCUUCAUCAACAACACAGAGAGUGAUGAAGAGGACGAAGAGGAGGAUAAAAGCAGCAAAGAGCGACAUUCCAAAGGAGAAGAAACUUCAGGAGGGCGGACUCCGGGCCUGAAGCAGGAAGUUCGAGCUGCACUGAAGGCCCUGCGGGACAAGCUGUGGGCGGAGCAAAGAGAGAACGAGCAUUUGGCUCCUAGUGAAACAGCGAUGAGGAGGACGCAGCUGGAGCUCAGCUACUUGCAGGAAUGUUCUGUGCUGCAACUGGGUUCACUUAGAGCUUCGCUCAGCCAGGACAUUCAUGAUCUGAGCUCUGAUCUUGUGGCGCUUCUGUUAAUACGAGACCAUCUGCGCAUAAAACAAGAUGCCAUGCUUCUGGACGUACAAGACAUGACCUCCCUUUGACUCUGCCGGGCUUUACAGCAGAUUGUAAAUCCUAAAAUACACCAGCAUAUAGGAUGGUGAAUGCUUGCUGCGUGAUAAUCUGAUAGUAAUGAGGGGCACAGUGCUCUUUUCUGCGUCUUAAAAGGCUUGUUUUGUGAAGGGACAUUUCUGGGGAAACUUUUUUAAACAUGUACUUUAUAACUGUGUAUGUGCCUUUUAGUUGAGUGCCAGUAGUAUUGCCCAGUAUUUUGUUACAAUAUAAAUUAUUUGGGUCUCCCCACUAUGUACAGAUAUCCAAGUUUUAUAAACUGCAACUGUGUUUAAAUGUUCUCUGUUUGCACAGUUGAUGUUACGACAUGAAUUUAAUUCAGUGUAUAUGUGAAUUUUAAAAUAUGCACAUAUUCAAUAAAGUAAUGUGAUUUUGUAUUGCUAUUGUUAAU